ensembl:lncRNA
GUAUUAUAUGUAAAUUAAGAUAUCUGCGCAAAAUAUAUGCUUCUCCUGCGCGUUAGAGACCUGUCAAUCAAAGUGUAGCCCCGCCCUGAAGUCUGUUUGACUCUAAAUCAGGGGUCUCAAACUCAAAUCAGCUGCGGGCCAGAUGCAGCCCACUUCAACCGAACGCGGGCCGGACUAGCGUCCGAACUAGCGUCCGAACGGCAUGGUCGACAAUAACACAACUUAACACUCACUUUCAAAAGCAGUCAUUGAACCCCACCCUGGGGGAUCGGUCCCAAUGAGACUACAACACUAGUCCUCCUUUAACUCAGCGGGGGAGACCUAAGGUCAUGUGACCGUGGAAUUCCUUUAUAGCCAAACGUGAAGUUACGUGAAUCGAAGCUGCGUAGUAAUGGACGGAGACGCUCGUCGGUGACGUCAGAUGCUUCUUGUGUUGUUAGUGUGAGUCGUAAAGGAAAACUUUAUUAAACGAGCGAUGCUAACGGUUAGUCACAUGAUCACCUGCGCGAAAGAGGGCAGGAAACUGAAUUUCACCCUCCUGCUCUCUGCACCUCGGCCGACACACACGACCCGCCCCCCAUGUCAGUCACAUGCAUGCCACGUUCACUGGACAAGCACACAGUAGGAAACCAGAACAUCAUAACAUGUCCCACACAGCAGCUGACAGUGGGGUUACAGUAUAAAACUUGCGGGCCGCACUAACAUUACACUUUCAUAUUAAGGAUGGAGCCACAAAAUAUCGUCCCGAGGGCCGCAAUUGGCCCGCGGGCCGCGAGUUUGAGACCCCUGCUCUAAAUGGACAGUCGGUUACUAAAGGAACGCCGUGCUGUGUUGGAGAAGAGCAGAAGACUCACCCUGAAAGUGUUUUAUUAGAAGUAUGUGACGGCUCCUAUGGGUUUGAUUUGAAGAAGUGACCCGCCACCUUUUUACAAUCCUCUGCUGGGAUUAAAUCCCGGGUUGAUGGGGAUGUAUCGCGAUGCGCCGCUGCCUCUGUGGGACCUUUGAUCGGAGUAAUCGAUACGGCGGUUUGGCGGCCGCACAAAGGACGCUGUUAACGCGGUUUCAUCGGAGCCCGAGGUCUGUGGCUCUCGACCCGGGAUACUACAAGAUACUUAUCAGCCCCCGUCCCGGGCAACAAAGGGCGUCUCUCCCUCUAUCUCUGAGAAUCCUAAUCGUCUGGUGUUCUCAUGUAGCUAACGGUGUGUCUGCUGCGGCUCGGCCUCUGAGGACGCUUCCCUCGUUGGGUCGCCGAAACACAAGAAACGAUGAUCACAACCGGCCCGCGCCGCUUCAUUGAUGAUGUCGCUCAUCGGCCCAAUCAGCUGAUCACAAAGACGUGGGAUCAUCGGGGCGGAUAGAAUGGAGGAUGAUGCCUGAUGAUAACCCUGCUGGAAUGAAUGCCGUCCCAAUGUAUUAUUUAUUACUGCGUUAUAUGUUUAUCAGGACUGAGUGGACCCCGAGUGCAGAAGGACUCUCUUAUUGUUGAUCCAGUUAGGAGUGUGUUAGUAGAUGAAUAAACGUCAUAUACUUUUGGGCAUCUGGGUAAAUGUUAUAAGUUAAGAAGGUGAAGCCAAACUGAAGGAAUCUCAUGGAUGUCUAAGAAGAAAUAAUUCAACUCAAUCCACCAAAUCCCAGCUCCUUUUUCUAGAUGAAGCAGCUCUUCAUUUGUGUGUGUGUGUGUGUGUGUGUGUCUGCAGCCUGCUGAAACAUGGAGACGAGUGCUUCGAAGCUGCUUCCUGUCCGUGUCUGUGGAAAGGAAAGGAGUAUUACCCCGGCGACCGAGUCUCCUCCCCCUGCCAUCAGUGGUACGACCAGCAUUUACCACAAGUACUCUUUAGUUCAUUAAAACACAGAAUAUUUCCUUCCUUCAUUGGUGCAGAAAGCUUUUCUAUAGAUAAAUGAACAUGAGCCUGCAGGACGGAUCCCGGAUGUAUGAAGGGCUUCAGGUUCAGAGUCCAAUGGAAGAAGGAUGAAAUCUCUGCAAUGAUUCAGAUCAAGGGUCCAUGCUGGGAAGAGAAAAAGACCCUCUUAGUUACAAAAGUCUCUUUCCCGAUUUGAGUCUAUGGGAAAUCUUUUUUUUUGGGCCACAUGGCGUCACAUGACAAACCAGGAAGACGUCUUACUCUUCCUCUCCUUCUUCGGAUGUUAACAGAAAACCGUAUUUCGCUACGUGGUUUUGUUGCUAACCCUCCGCCGUUACCGCGGCAACACAUUUACUCACUCGCACGCGGCCGCAAAGACCUGAUCGUCGAGCCACCAGUCAAAAAUAUCUGUCAAGAGUUUACAAAGUAUUGGGGGGUCCACGACCCCUUAAUGGACCCAUUUUGCCCCCCCCCCCAGCCUUUAUUACCCCUGAGUGUUUCACACACUGUCCGUCAGAAACAGGACAAAUCUCCAUCAGCGAUGCUAAUUUUUUCUCCUGGGAUUGACAGGAAGGGGCCACCCGAUAUCCAUAAUUCUCCCCGAUCAACAGGGCCAGAAAGAAAGAGAAAGACAAAAAAACAGAGCGGGCCCUUGUGCGACUCUUCGCUCCGGGCCGCUGAAAGGGAGAACUCGAACCAGAUGACAGACUAAUGGCGGCAGAAUCAGCCUGCGACUGUUCCCGACCCCCCCGACCCCCCAUUAGCCUCGACAAGUCGAUGCUGAAUCACUGAGGCUCUGCUGUCUCUGCAGCGUCUGCCAGCACGGGACGUUCCGCUGUGCGUUCCGUGCGUGCCCGGCCAUGUGCUCGGCCUACGGAGACCGCCACUACGGGACGUUCGACGGGCUGCUGUUCGACUACGUGGGCGCCUGCGAGGUCCACCUGGUGAAGGUAUGUCCUCCAAUGUGCGCCGUCUGUCCGGGCCCUCACACACCGUGUGCACUUAAGUAAAGUCAAACGGCAUUUUUUUAGCCCUUUGCGUUCCUGCGAAGUGAAAGGGGCGUGGCCUGUCCUCCACAGAGCAGCGGCGACGUGAUGCUCAGCGUGACGGCUGAGAACGUCGGCUGCUUCGACGGCGGAGUCGUCUGCAGGAAGUCCCUCGUGGUCAAUGUGGGCGGAUCCUCCGUGGCCUUCGACGAAGACUCGGGGGAACCCGUGAGAUCAGCUUUUUAGAUUGAAAUGAGAAGGCGGGAAAAUGUUGUCACGUUUUAAAAAGUUUUUUUCUCGCAGAAUCCAUCGAGCGCGAUCGACAGGAAGCAGAGGAUGUUCUUGUGGCCGGCCGGGUUCUUCACCGUGGUUCAUUUCCCCGACGAAGACGUCACCGUCCUCUGGGACCGGAAGACCACUGUCCACAUCCAGGUCGGACCCCGCUGGCAGGUAGGGGGCUCUUCAGGGACCACGUCCCAAAUGUCACCCAGCAUCUUGACACACACCAUCUACUCAGGCUCCGCCCACCUGCCUGUUUUGGGAGAUUUCUACUGGAUUGCAUCAAAAAUGAGCAGAGCGUGAAAGUGGACUUUAACUCCAGAUGGCUUUGUUAAAGCGAGUGUGAAGACGUUUGAACUGAUCCUGAACCAGUCUCCAUUUAGUCCCGAUCCUCUAUGUCAACCAGUCUCAUGUUAGUCCCGAUCCUCUAUGUGAACCAGUCUCUGUUUAGUCCUGAUCCUCCAUGUCAACCAGUCUCUGUUUAGUCCUGAUCCUCCAUGUCAACCAGUCUCAGGUUAGUCCUGAUCCUCUAUGUCAACCAGUCUCCAUUUAGUCCUGAUCCUCUAUGUCAACCAGUCUCAUGUUAGUCCUGAUCCUCUAUGUCAACCAGUCUCAUGUUAGUCCUGAUCCUCUAUGUCAACCAGUCUCAGGUUAGUCCUGAUGCUCCAUGUGAACCAGUCUCAGUGUGGUCCUGAUCCUCUAUGUGGUGCAGGGUUAGAGCAGGUGUGCUGGGAACCGCAAGGUUGGUGGUUUGAGUCCCGGCUGCCCCAUGUCGUAGUGUCCCUGGGCAAAACCCCCUGACCUCUAAUUGCUCCCAUUGGUUCAAAAUGUAAUGUAAUGUAAUGUAAUGUAAUGUAAUGUAAUGUAAGUCGCUUUGGAUAAAAGCUCAGUUUAGUCCUGAGCUCAGACACACAAUCAACACACCAGGGAAGUUCAUCUUAUGGACACGAUUAUAUAUGAUAAAUAUAAAUGAUUAUUUUAGAGAUGUUUUUACUGGUAGUAAAUAUCACAUAAACCCAUUUGAGUUGGUUAAGCUUUACAUAUACAUGUGUGUUUAUAUAUACACGUGUGUUUAUAUAUACAUGUGUGUUUAUAUAUACAUGUGUGUUUAUAUAUACAUGUGUAUGUGUGUGUGUGUGUUCAGGGGAAGCUCAGCGGGCUCUGUGGGAACUUUGACACGAAGACGGUGAACGAGAUGCGGACGCCCGACAACAUCGACUCUGCGACUCCGCAGGAGUUCGGGAACAGCUGGACGGCAGCAGAGGUAAGAAUUCUUUAAUGUGGAACGUUUCCAGCUUUAAAGUCAGUCACUUUUCCCAACAUUCACUGAAUAUAAUCUCUUUGUUUUAUAAGGUUUAUAAGUACAUUUACUCAAGUACUAUACUUAGUACUAAUUCCAAUAAGGACGUAAAGGAGUAAACUUCAAACACAGUACUAUUAAUUCAUCCAACGUUCAGAUUUAUCUGCUGGAACGUUAUGCAAAUUAGCACAUAUUUAAAAGUAUAGUGUCUCAUUUGCAUAUGUUGUGUUGAUCAAAUCAUCUUUUUCAGGUUGUUCAUCUAUUUCUAACAACAUUUAAAAUGCAGGACUUCUACUUAGAGUGGUAUUUUUAGGCUUUGGUAUUAGUACUUUUAAAAGUACACACGUAUUGGGAGGCUUCCACCACUUCUUCUUUACACCCUUUACUACUCAACCUGUAGUAAGUGGUAAUCAACCCAAACUGUGCAUGUGUGCGUGUGUGUGCGUGUGCGUGUGUGUGUGUGUGUGUGCAGUGUGUGAGCAGUCCAGACAUCAGACACCCCUGCAGCCUCAGUCCGCUCAGAGAGCCGUUUGCAAAGCGCCGUUGCGGCGUCCUGCUCAGCGAGGUGUUCCA